UGCUUCUUAUCCAAUUCGAAU
rnacentral:piRNA from 1 species